GACGAACGCUGGCGGCGUGCUUAACACAUGCAAGUCGAACGAAGUGGCGAACGGGUGAGUAAAGCGUAAUCAACCUGCCCUUAAGAGGGGGACAACAGUUGGAAACGACUGCUAAUACCGCAUACUGAAUGAGGGGAUGUCGUCGGAUUAGCUCGUUGGAGGGGUAACGGCCCACCAAGGCGAUGAUCAGUAGCCGGUCUGAGAGGAUUAGCGGCCACACUGGGACUGGGACACGGCCCAGACUCCUUCGGGAGGCAGCAGGGGGGAAUCUUCCGCAAUGGGCGAAAGUCUGACGGAGCAACGCCGCGUGAGUGAUGACGGCCUUCGGGUUGUAAAGCUAUGUUAAUCGGGACGCGGUACCGGAAUAGAAAGCCACGGCUAACUACGUGCCAGCAGCCGCGGUAAUUC
rnacentral:rRNA from 1 species